rnacentral:rRNA from 1 species
ACGAACGCUGGCGGCGUGCCUAAUCCAUGCAAGUCGAGCGGACGGAUGGGAGCUUGCUCCCAGACCGUCAGCGGCGGACGGGUGAGUAACACGUGGGCAACCUGCCUGUAAGACUGGGAUAACUCCGGGAAACCGGGGCUAAUACCGGAUAACUCUUUCCCUCACAUGAGGGAAAGCUGAAAGAUGGCAUCUCGCUAUCACUUACAGAUGGGCCCGCGGCGCAUUAGCUAGUUGGUGAGGUAACGGCUCACCAAGGCGACGAUGCGUAGCCGACCUGAGAGGGUGAUCGGCCACACUGGGACUGAGACACGGCCCAGACUCCUACGGGAGGCAGCAGUAGGGAAUCUUCCGCAAUGGACGAAAGUCUGACGGAGCAACGCCGCGUGAGUGAUGAAGGUUUUCGGAUCGUAAAACUCUGUUGUCAGGGAAGAACAAGUACCGGAGUAACUGCCGGUACCUUGACGGUACCUGAACAGAAAGCCACGGCUAACUACGUG